UUACAGAAAUGUUUCACAGGAACUGAUUCCUCCCAAAGGGUACAGUACGUGAUAUUAAGGGCAGGCGGUCAUCACCGGGGGAAGAAAAGAAGCAGACGUACUUCCAAGAGGGAGCUGCAGUGAGGACACAGCCUGGUCACUGAGGAGGCGCUGAAAGGUUUCCCUAAUAGUUCCUGGUGAAUCAAAGCAGAACCAUAAAGGUUGCUGGACUGCAUGAUGGCCUUACCCCUGAGCAGUCAUCCUGUUAAAGGAGGAACCAGUUAGAAGCUGUUUUCAAAGUAGCUGAGCAGAUUUCAUCUCAACAGACAAAGCCGAUGGCAGAAGAUGUUUGGAGAAGAACUUCAGGCCGUGGACUGACAAGUAGAUCAAAGCAGCUCGUGCUCUGUCUGCUUCCAUUUUGAUGGCAAGAAGAAGAAGAAGAAGAAUGCUUCAGCGAAGUGGCGUUCAUGGUCUCAGUGAACAGUCAUGGUCACACACUGCAUGUGGUUUUAAAAGCAAC